rnacentral:rRNA from 1 species
CGCCUGCCCCUUUAUGGCAGGUAGAUACUGCCCCCUGAUCUGUAUUUAACGGCCGCGGUAUCCUAACCGUGCUAAGGUAGCAUAAUCACUUGCCUUUUCAAUGAAGGCUAGAAUGAAUGUACUGACGGGAAACUACUGAUUCGGCUUUACUAAAUAAAAUUUAAAUUAGGGUAAAAAUGCCUUAAUACACUAGAAGGACGACAAGACCCUAUAAAACUUCACCACGCCAGGUUUAAACAAUAGAGUAAAAUUUUAAGCCUCCAGUGGUUUGCUGGGGCGGCUAUCCCCCCCCGGGGGGUAAUCCAACACCUUGCGUGACCCCACGAACCUUUUUUAAUAGAAAGACCAAGUUACUUUAGGGAUAACAGCGUAAUCGCCUCGUAGAGCUCCAAUCGAUGAGGCAGUUUACGACCUCGAUGUUGAAUUGGGGCACCUGCUAAGAGCAACCCCUUAGCGCAGGAAGUCUGUUCGACUUUUAAACCCCCACGUGAUC